CCGAAUUCCAAAAUAGUACUCGAUAGAGCACACAGAGCUCUAAAACCCAGAGGCAUCGCAGCAGACGGCUCCAUUACUAUCAAUGUAAAGAGGACAUACUAGCAGCCCUCAGGCACACAACACAGCUGAUACUCUUUCAUGAAAAACCAAUCCGUAUCUUCCCUGACCUCUCCUGGCUAACACUGCAGGAGAUCCCUACACCCGCCUACAGAUCAACUCAGAACCAGGGGCAUCAGAUACCGCUGGGGUUUCCCUUUCGCCCCUCAGCCAUACUCAUAAGGGAUCCACUCACACCAUCUACUCAGUUAUGGACGUGCAGAUAUUUCAGCAAGCCCUGGAUUUGCCUGCCAUACAAAUAGCGGACUGGUAUGCCCACCAGCAGGCUCCACAGCAACCCAACUAUCGCAGAGGCAAAGGGGAUCACAGAUGGCGAAGAAAAGACGCACAGAUCACGGAGACCUUGCACAAGGAACAAGCACAAAGAAUGGACUCACCAACAUCCUAAUGAAAGAACUAUUCCACCAAAAGAACUAUUCCACUUCCCAUGAUGAAUCCACG